GAGGGAUCUUACCUUGUCGUCGGCGCCAAUGAAGCCCUCUCUCUGUGCAAAACGGAGUCGAACGGGCAGAGGUAUUGAAGGUGAAGCGGCGGAAGAGGGGAAGCAGGAGGCGGUGCUCUCCUCUCUUCUGCAAGUUUGAAAGAAAACCUCCAGAUUUAGGGGUUUUUUUUAGCUUUAAAAUGUUUUCAAAAACGGCACCAUUUAGAGGCUUGCGACCCGCGCAGUGACCCGACCCGGGGAGGAUCCGCACAUUUUUAUUGUAUGGUCUAUUUGCGCCUUUAAUCCUUCCAUUUUAUUCCUUUUUUUAAUUUCAUUUUUUAUUUUGUUGUAAAUUUCCCGGUAAUCUUGAAUUUGUUUCAAUUCAGUCUUGAUCUAAACGCUGCGUUUUGGGGAGCACGGGAUUUUUUCCCUUUUUGGUCCCUGACAUUAUGCGCGUGUUUUGAUACAACCCUUAGACAUUUCUAAUUGUGUUUUCUCUCCCUUAAAUUUAGUUUUGAUUUCAAUUUAAUCCUGUUU
rnacentral:lncRNA from 1 species